AUGCUUAUUGUUCCCUGUACCUGUAAUACUGUGCUGUUCAGUCUCUCCACUCGCUGUUCUGUCUCUCCACUCUGCAGCCCAAUGAGGAUAGGAAUAUCCUGGAGGAAUCUACAGGCUGUGCCAAAAGGAGUGUCAGCUGAACCAGAAGAGGUUGCUGGGAGCAUGGAUGAAACCCCUGUAUUGGCAGCAUUGGUAGAAACCCCCCUAAUGGCAGAAGUAGUAGAAACCCCUGUAAUGGCAGCAGUGGUGGAGGCUGCUGCUCCAGUAGUGGAAGAGUCCAUUGUCAUGGAAGAGGUAGAGCCUGUUGCGGCUGCAGUGGAGGAGUUUAUUCCAGCAGUAGAGGAAUCUAUCCCAGUGACAUUAGUGGAACCAACUAUGACUGCAGUGGAAGAAUCCAUUGAGAUGGCAGAGGGACACAUUAUUGAUGAAGUGGAAGCUCCCAAGCCAGAGGAGGUAACAGCAGUGGAAGAUACCAUCACGAAGAUAGAGGUUCCUGUCACCAUAGAAAAUGACUUAUUGGGAGAUGUAAUCACAGAAACACACCGCUUGGCACAAGAGGUACCACAGUCCACCCCAGAGGAAGAAGUCAUAACAACACCAGAGGCGGCUGUUGAGGAAGAACCUGCAGCAAUAAAGCACAGAGCAACAGAUGAAGCACCUGUUACCGAGUCAGUCACAGAACCCAUUGUAACAGAAGCACCAGUUGCCGAGGCAGCGCCAGUGCCUAUAGCAACAGAACCAGAACCUGUUACCAUAGAAGCAUUGGUGGAAGUAAAAGCAGGUCAGGUCAGUUAAGAACAAAUUCUUAUUUUCAAUGACGGCCUAGGAACAGUGGGUUAACUGCCUGUUCAGGGGCAGAACGACAGAUUUGUCAGCUCGGGGGUUUGAACUUGCAACCUUCCGGUUACUAGUCCAACGCUCUAACCACUAGGCUACCCAUAGACCUAGUACCACUCAUAGACCUAGCCCCAGCACCACUCAUAGACCUAGCCCCAGCACCACUCAUAGACCUAGCCCCAGCACCACUCAUAGACCUAGCCCCAGCAGUAGAGCCCCUACCCAGGUGCUUACACCAGAGCCAGCCCCUGCAGCCGUCGUCUUAGAUGGUAAAGGAGUGGAGCCAGCCCCUGCAGCCGUCGUCUUAGAGGGGAAAGGAGUGAGCCAGCCCCUGCAGCCGUCGU
rnacentral:lncRNA from 1 species